rnacentral:rRNA from 3 species
GGCUCAGGAUGAACGCUAGCUACAGGCUUAACACAUGCAAGUCGAGGGGCAGCAUAUCGAAAGCUUGCUUUUGAUGAUGGCGACCGGCGCACGGGUGAGUAACGCGUAUCCAACCUUCCCUAUACUAGAGGAUAGCCCGGCGAAAGUCGGAUUAAUACUCUAUGUUCUUCGUAGAAGACAUCUGAAAUGAAGCAAAGGUUUACCGGUAUAGGAUGGGGAUGCGUCUGAUUAGGUUGUUGGCGGGGUAACGGCCCACCAAGCCCACGAUCAGUAGGGGUUCUGAGAGGAAGGUCCCCCACAUUGGAACUGAGACACGGUCCAAACUCCUACGGGAGGCAGCAGUGAGGAAUAUUGGUCAAUGGACGAGAGUCUGAACCAGCCAAGUAGCGUGCAGGAUGACGGCCCUAUGGGUUGUAAACUGCUUUUAUACAGGGAUAAAGUUCACUACGUGUAGUGUUUUGUAGGUACUGUAUGAAUAAGGACCGGCUAAUUCCGUGCCAGCAGCCGCGGUAAUACGGAAGGUCCGGGCGUUAUCCGGAUUUAUUGGGUUUAAAGGGAGCGCAGGCUGAUGAUUAAGCGUGACGUGAAAUGUAGCCGCUCAACGGCUGAACUGCGUCGCGAACUGGUUAUCUUGAGUGAGUUCGAUGUUGGCGGAAUUCGUGGUGUAGCGGUGAAAUGCUUAGAUAUCACGAAGAACUCCGAUUGCGAAGGCAGCCAACAAG